GAUGAACGCUAGCGGCAGGCUUAACACAUGCAAGUCGAGGGGUAGAAGUUACUUGUAACUUUGAGACCGGCGCACGGGUGCGUAACGCGUAUGCAACCUACCUUUUACAGGGGGAUAGCCCAGAGAAAUUUGGAUUAAUACCCCAUGGUAUAAUUGAAUGGCAUCAUUUGAUUAUUAAAGUUCCAACGGUAAAAGAUGGGCAGGCGUCCUAUUAGCUAGAUGGUAAGGUAACGGCUUACCAUGGCUACGAUAGGUAGGGGUCCUGAGAGGGAGAUCCCCCACACUGGUACUGAGACACGGACCAGACUCCUACGGGAGGCAGCAGUGAGGAAUAUUGGACAAUGGGCGCAAGCCUGAUCCAGCCAUGCCGCGUGCAGGAAGACGCAUCUAUGGUGUGUAAACUGCUUUUGUACGGGAAGAAACACCCCUUCGUGAAGGGACUUGACGGUACCGUAAGAAUAAGGAUCGGCUAACUCCGUGCCAGCCGCCGCAGUAACAC
rnacentral:rRNA from 1 species